UACGGGGGGGGCUAGCGUUGUUCGGAAUUACUGGGCGUAAAGCGCGCGUAGGCGGACCUGCAAGUCGGGGGUGAAAGCCCGAGGCUCAACCUCGGAACUGCCUUCGAUACUGCGGGUCUCGAGUCCGGGAGAGGUGAGUGGAAGUCCUAGUGUAGAGGUGAAAUUCGUAGAUAUUAGGAAGAACACCAGUGGCGAAGGCGGCUCACUGGCCCGGUACUGACGCUGAGGCGCGAAAGCGUGGGGAGCAAACAGG
rnacentral:rRNA from 1 species